AGAGUUUGAUCAUGGCUCAGGAUUAACGCUAGCGGCAGGCCUAAUACAUGCAAGUCGAACGGGAUUCAAAGUAGCAAUAUUUUGAUGAGAGUGGCGCACGGGUGAGUAACACGUAUGCAAUUUACCUUUAACUGGGGGAUAGCCCUCCGAAAGGAGGAUUAAUACCGCAUAAUAUAUUGAAAUGGCAUCAUUUUAAUAUUAAACCUACGGGGGUUAAAGAUGAGCAUGCAUCCGAUUAGCUAGUUGGUGUGGUAACGGCUCACCAAGGCAACGAUCGUAGGGGUCUGAGAGGAUGAUCCCCCACACUGGUACUGAGACACGGACCAGACUCCUACGGGAGGCAGCAGUAAGGAAUAUUGGACAAUGGAGGCAACUCUGAUCCAGCCAUGCCGCGUGAAGGAUUAAGGCCCUAUGGGUUGUAAACUUCUUUAGACGGGACAAAACCCCUUUACGUGUAAAGGGUUGAUGGUACUGUCAGAAUAAGCAUCGGCUAACUUCGUG
rnacentral:rRNA from 1 species